UACGAAGGGGGCUAGCGUUGUUCGGAAUUACUGGGCGUAAAGCGCGCGCAGGUGGUCUUCCAAGUCAGUGGUGAAAGCCCGGAGCUCAACUCCGGAACUGCCAUUGAAACUGUUAGACUUGAGGAUGAGAGAGGUGAGUGGAAUUCCCAGUGUAGAGGUGAAAUUCGUAGAUAUUGGGAAGAACACCAGUGGCGAAGGCGGCUCACUGGCUCAUUUCUGACGCUCAGGCGCGACAGCGUGGGGAUCAAACAGG
rnacentral:rRNA from 1 species